CAGCAGCCGCCGCGGGAAUACGGAGGGUGCAAGCGUUAUCCGGAUUUACUGGGUUUAAAGGGUGCGUAGGCGGACUUGUAAGUCCGAGGUGAAAUCUCUGAGCUUAACUCGGAAACUGCCUUGGAUACUAUAGGUCUUGAAUCUCGUUGAGGUUUGCGGAAUAUGUCAUGUAGCGGUGAAAUGCUUAGAUAUGACAUAGAACACCUAUUGCGAAGGCAGCAGGCUAAACGAAUAUUGACGCUGAUGCACGAAAGCGUGGGGAUCAAACAGGAUUAGAUACCCGCGUAGUCCCUGUCUCUUAUAA
rnacentral:rRNA from 1 species